UGAGCAAUCUGCCCUUCUCAUCGGAAUAAGCGUUGGAAACGACGUCUAAUGCCGAAUACGACCUCCUUUCGCAUGAUCGGAGGUGGAAAGCUCCGGCGGAGAAGGAUGAGCUCGCGGCCUAUCAGCUAGUUGGUGUGGGUAACGGCCCACCAAGGCGACGACGGGGUAGCCGGCCUGAGAGGGCGACCGGUCACACUGGGACUGAGACACGGCCCAGACUCCGUACGGGAGGCAGCG
rnacentral:rRNA from 1 species